GACGAACGCUGGCGGCGUGCUUAACACAUGCAAGUCGAACGAAGUGGCGAACGGGUGAGUAACGCGUAAUCAACCUGCCCUUCAGAGGGGGACAACAGUUGGAAACGACUGCUAAUACCGCAUACUGAAGGAGGGGAUUGCGUCGGAUUGGCUAGUUGGGGGGGUAACGGCCAACCAGGGCGAUGAUCAGUAGGCGGUCUGGGGGGGUGGACGGCCACAACGGGACUGGGGACCGGCCCAGGCUCCUACGGGGGGCAGCCGGGGGGAAUCAUCCGCCAUGGAGGGAAGUCUGACGGAGCAACGCCGCGUGAGUGAUGACGGCCUUCGGGUUGUAAAGCUCUGUUAAGCGGGACGCGGUACCGGAAUAGAAAGCCACGGCUAACUACGUGCCAGCCGCCGCGGUAAUUC
rnacentral:rRNA from 1 species